GCUUAGAACAUCAUGUGUUGUUAUAAUUUCAUCUUUUUAUUUACUCUAAAAUGUUACUCUUUUUAUUUUCCAAGAUUAUUUUGAAGUGAUAACUAACUUGUUCGUCGGAGUGUUUGUAGGAAGGUAUGUACGCUCUUGUCAUGAAUAGAUCAAAAAGAGUCUUGAGGUCAUUACAGGUAAUGUUCUUCUAUUGCUUCUUUUCAUUUGGUUUUUACAAUAAAUGCAAAGUGAUUGUUUUGUUAGAAGUAGUAAAUACUACACAAAUCCAUAACAAAUAUUGAGCAGUUUC
rnacentral:lncRNA from 1 species